AUUUUCCAUUGAAUGCCCUCUUGACUUCUGAGUCCCGUAAGCGCACUGGCUACUCAAAGCAUGCAUGCUAAAAACUUAUUGUCUACUAGAACCUGGCUCUCCCAAAAGUAUAUAGACUGUGCCUUGGGGACUCAGAGAGCUCAGUGGCUCAGGAGUAACAUUUUCACUGAACCUGGAAAGAUGGAUUUGAGCCAGGCUGGUCCAAGACUGCCGUGGACAAAGAGAGGCCUAACUUAGGGCCGAUUUAGGGUAUAUGUGGUAUGGUCUUUUCAAAAUUGAAGGAAAAUGAACCCUUAAAAAACAAAAAUGACAGGUUCUCCUUAUGUCAUCCAGGAUGGUCUAGACCUCGCAGUGAUCCUCCUGCCUCAGCUUUCUGACUGCUGAGAUUGCAGGCAUUAAUCACUGAGCAUGGCUGGCAAUGAGACCAGAGAACAAAAAUGAGUGGAAAAGGGGGACCAGACCCAGGCUCUCCAAGGCAAAGGCAUCUUUGAAGGUUUGAAAUAGGCCAUCGAUGUGUCUCUCUUCCUUUGUUUUGUUUGUCGCCUCUUAAUUUCCUUUGCAGCAGGAGCUCAUUAGCUAGGCCACGCUAGCCUGGCAUUCAUUGUCUGUACCUGUAAAGAGCAGUCUGUGCUGCCACUAUUGCUGUUGCUGUUUGUUUGCUCUUAGGUUUUCAUUUUGUAAAAAUAGCCAUUGGUAGCAAUCCCUCUAAAGGUCGUGUGAAGACCUGUAAGCAGCAAGCUCCUGAAGCACAGAAAACAAUGAUAAGCUGGAAAGACUCAUUGUUCCCUUUUGCCCCAGGUCAUAGCAGAUUAGUCCAGGAAGCUCUUGAUCCUGGAUAACCACUCGGUACCAUACAAUAGGAAUGCUUAUUCACCCUUGCCUAAACCAGGCACAGGGAGCUAGUGUGCUGGCCUGUUCUAAUAAGUGACCCAGGGACACAUGGUAAAAGCCCCAUCUGGGGUGCCCUGGACCCUCUCAGAUCCCUUGUCCAACCAGCACGCCUACGCCCCCUUUACUACAGUCUAGAUCCAGUGGCCUCAGACACAAAGAGACACAAAGAGGUCGAGGGGCAGUUCCCUGUAACCACCUUCCAGGCUUCUCUCCUGCCCCCUAAGCCUAGCGUAGCCGCAGAGUGCUGUAUUUUUGUACUAUGGUGUCUUCACAUCCUAAGAGCUCAUGUUCUUCACCCCAAAGCCUAGUAGAUCCCACUGUUCCCCCACAGCUGAAGUCCAGCGCCAUGGAACAGCUCUGGGUGCCAGACACCAUGUGAGGGGCUUUCCAAACCUCACAGCAAAAGAAGAGUAGGAUUUUUUUUCUAUUUAGUUGUUUGGGUUUUUUUUUCCUUUGGUUUUGUUUUUUGAGACAAGAUCUUAGGUAUCCCAUACUGGCCUCAAAAUCACUCUGUAGUCAAGGAUAAUCUUGACCUUGCGAUUCUCCUGCCUUUACCUCCCAAGUUUUGGCGAUAUAUGCAUGUGUCAACACACCCAGCUCUGUCUGCUUAAUAUCUUCUACACAAUGAGAAGACUAAGACUUUGGAAGUGUAGCCAUAAUCGCUUGAUCCAGCAUAUUUUAACUUUUUCUUUUAUUUUUGAGAUUAUAACAUUUCUCCCUUUCCUCCCUCCAAAUCUCAUAUACCUCUUCUCUCUCUUUCUGCCUUUCAAAUCCAUGGCCUCGUUUUCCAUUAUCAGUUGUUAUUUAUUUAUAUAUAUAUAUAUAUAUAUUCCCUAAAUAAAACCUGCUCUAUCUG
rnacentral:lncRNA from 1 species